rnacentral:rRNA from 1 species
CCUACGGGUGGCAGCAGUGAGGAAUAUUGGUCAAUGGACGAGAGUCUGAACCAGCCAAGUAGCGUGAAGGAUGACUGCCCUAUGGGUUGUAAACUUCUUUUAUAUGGGAAUAAAACGUUCCACGUGUGGGAUUUUGUAUGUACCAUAUGAAUAAGGAUCGGCUAACUCCGUGCCAGCAGCCGCGGUAAUACGGAGGAUCCGAGCGUUAUCCGGAUUUAUUGGGUUUAAAGGGAGCGUAGGUGGAUUGUUAAGUCAGUUGUGAAAGUUUGCGGCUCAACCGUAAAAUUGCAGUUGAAACUGGCAGUCUUGAGUACAGUAGAGGUGGGCGGAAUUCGGGGUGUAGCGGUGAAAUGCUUAGAUAUCACGAAGAACUCCGAUUGCGAAGGCAGUUCACUGGACUGCAACUGACACUGAGGCUCGAAAGUGUGGGUAUCAAACAGGAUUAGAUACCCCAGUAGUC